rnacentral:rRNA from 1 species
GGGGAAUAUUGGACAAUGGGGGCAACCCUGAUCCAGCAAUGCCGCGUGUGUGAAGAAGGUCUUCGGAUUGUAAAGCACUUUCGACGGGGACGAUGAUGACGGUACCCGUAGAAGAAGCCCCGGCUAACUUCGUGCCAGCAGCCGCGGUAAUACGAAGGGGGCUAGCGUUGCUCGGAAUGACUGGGCGUAAAGGGCGUGUAGGCGGUUUACACAGUCAGAUGUGAAAUCCCCGGGCUUAACCUGGGAGCUGCAUUUGAUACGUGUAGACUAGAGUGUGAGAGAGGGUUGUGGAAUUCCCAGUGUAGAGGUGAAAUUCGUAGAUAUUGGGAAGAACACCGGUGGCGAAGGCGGCAACCUGGCUCAUGACUGACGCUGAGGCGCGAAAGCGUGGGGAGCAAACAGGUUAGAUACCCUGGUAGUCCACGCUGUAAACGAUGUGUGCUAGAUG